UGGGGAAUUUGGACAAUGGGCGAAAGCCUGAUCCAGCAAUGCCGCGUGUGUGAAGAAGGCCUUCGGGUUGUAAAGCACUUUUGUCCGGAAAGAAAUCCUUGGCUCUAAUACAGUCGGGGGGAUGACGGUACCGGAAGAAUAAGCACCGGCUAACUACGUGCCAGCAGCCGCGGUAAUACGUAGGGUGCAAGCGUUAAUCGGAAUUACUGGGCGUAAAAGCGUGCGCAGGCGGUUUGCUAAGACCGAUGUGAAAUCCCCGGGCUCAACCUGGGAACUGCAUUGGUGACUGGCAGGCUAGAGUAUGGCAGAGGGGGGUAGAAUUCCACGUGUAGCAGUGAAAAUGCGUAGAGAUGUGGAGGAAUACCGAUGGCGAAAGGCAGCCCCCUGGGCCAAAUACUGACGCUCAUGCACGAAAAGCGUGGGGAGCAAAACAGGAUUAGAUACCCUGGUAGUCCACGCCCU
rnacentral:rRNA from 1 species